GCCCGCUUGGCUUAGUGGUACAGCGUCUCACUCGUAGUUCAUACUUGGAAUGAGAAGAUCCUCGGUUCGAUUCCGAGAGUGGGCA